rnacentral:rRNA from 1 species
AGCUUGCUACCGGACCUAGCGGCGGACGGGUGAGUAAUGCUUAGGAAUCUGCCUAUUAGUGGGGGACAACAUCUCGAAAGGGAUGCUAAUACCGCAUACGUCCUACGGGAGAAAGCAGGGGAUCUUCGGACCUUGCGCUAAUAGAUGAGCCUAAGUCGGAUUAGCUAGUUGGUGGGGUAAAGGCCUACCAAGGCGACGAUCUGUAGCGGGUCUGA